rnacentral:rRNA from 1 species
UACGUAGGAGGCGAGCGUUGUCCGGAGUUACUGGGCGUAAAGGGUGCGCAGGCGGCGGUUCGCGUGGCGAGAUGAAAUCUCCUGGCUUACCUGGGAGGGUGGUCGCCAGACGGGAUCGCUUGAGGGUCGGAGAGGGGCGUGGAAUUCCGGGUGGAGCGGUGAAAUGCGUAGAGAUCCGGAGGAACACCGACGGCGUAGGCAGCGCCCUGGACGACACCUGACGCUGAGACGCGAAAGCGUGGGGAGCAAACAGG